UACGUAGGGUGCAAGCGUUGUCCGGAAUUAUUGGGCGUAAAGAGCUCGUAGGCGGUCUGUCACGUCGGCUGUGAAAUCCCGAGGCUCAACCUCGGGUCUGCAGUCGAUACGGGCAAACUAGAGUAUUGCAGGGGAGACUGGAAUUCCUGGUGUAGCGGUGAAAUGCGCAGAAAUCAGGAGGAACACCGGUGGCGAAGGCGGGUCUCUGGGCAAUAACUGACGCUGAGGAGCGAAAGCGUGGGGAGCGAACAGG
rnacentral:rRNA from 1 species